rnacentral:rRNA from 1 species
GAUGAACGCUGGCGGCGUGCCUAAUACAUGCAAGUCGUGCGAACAGACGCUUACCUUGCUACUCUGACGUUAGCGGCGUACGUGUGAGUAACAUGUGGAUCCCCUACCUAUAAGACUGCGCUAACUUCGUGAAACCGGUGCUAAUUCCGUGUUAUAUCUUGAACCUCAUGGUUCAAUAGUUCAAGCCGGUUUUGCUGUCCCUUCUAGCUUGCUCCGCGCCGCAUUAGCUAGUUGGUACGGUAACGGCUUACCAAGGCAACGAUGCGUAGCCGACCUGAGAGGGGGAUCGGCCACACUGGAACUGAGACGCGGUACAGACUCCUACGGGAGGCAGAAGUAGGGAAUCGUGCGAAAUGGGCGAAAGACUGACGGAGCAACGCAGCGUGAGUGAUGAAGGGCUUCGGAUCGGAAAACUCUGUUAGGAGUGAAGAACAAAUGUGGAAGGAACGAUGCACGUCGUGACGGUACCUAAUCAGAAAGCAACGGCUAACUACGUG